UUGAUGAGUUAGUUGUUUACCUUAUAGACAAAAGAUCUUUCAAGUUUUUAUGAAUCUUGUUUUAAUUGUCAUCUAAAUUUUAUUAUAUAAUAAUCCUUUUUUUAAAUUUUUUUUUGAGAAGCCUAAUAUUCUACCUGGUUUUUAAGCACCUCAAUUAAAUUUACGGGAGAGGUAAAUAUCACGUUACUCUAUAUGUCAUAGCCUUAGUCAAUACAGUUAGUGAAUAGAACUACUUGAUAUUUGUAUCAAGUGAAAUUAGCUUUAGAGUUACUUGAUAUCUAUCCGUUGUUAAUGCAAGGUGGAAUUAAUCAAGGUGCACGCAAGCUAAUUCUGACACUCAGUAACCAAAACAAGAAAAUUUUAAUAAAGUAUAAAAUCAAUUUCUUAAUUCACACAAAAACAAGAAAAAAGAUACACGCAAAUUGAUUCGAACUCCACUAGUUAUCAAAACAAGAAAAUUGUAAUAAAGUAUAAAACCCAAUUUCUUAAUUCACACAAAAACAAGAAAAAAAGUAAACACAAGCUGAAUAGAAUACCAUAAAUUAUCAAAACAAGAAAAUUAUAAUAAAGUAUAAAACCCAUUUCUUAAUUCACACAAAAACAAAGAAAAAAAAUACACACAAACUGAUUCGAAGCCACAAGUUAUCAAAACAAGAAAAUUGUAAUAAAGUACAAACCCAAUUUCGUAAUUCACACAAAAAAGAAAAAGAAGUGAGAAACCUCAAGCUGUUCAUUCAGACAUUUCAACAAACAGAUGGAGGGCAAAAAUAUUCACCUAUUCGUUUGUGCUGUAAUCGGUGACCAUGGAUUUGGAGAUUGGAAGAGGAGAAGUUGGAUGGCAGCUGAACUGAUUCGACGAUGGAAAACGGAGCCCCGAUAAACUGUUUGCUUCGACUUCCUUGUAGUUGGGGAUCCAAGUUCAGCUCCGGAGAAGAUCCUUCUUGCCUUGAUUCCAUCUUCGGUGUAUUCUGCAUUUUUCCUUUAUUAUUUUGUUAUUAUUAAAACAUAUUAUGUCAUAGGCUAAGCAAAUUGUGUAAUCUUCCAUUAUGUUUUCAACAUGUGGCUUAUAUAUGUUGCUUAUAUAAUUGUCAGCACUACUUUGC